UAAAGAUACUUAUAGAUUAUUCUAAUUUCUAUGUAUACUAAACUAUUCUAAUUACAUUAUUUUAUCUCGAGCCCNCAGUGGGAGGCUCACACGACGGGCUAUUAGCUCAAUGGUAGAGCGCGCCCCUGAUAAUUGCGUUGUUGUGCCUGGGCUGUGAGGCCCAUACAUCAUAAAUUUCUUUUCUCGGAGAAGAAGCAAUGACAGUAUUUGGAGAAUAAGUAUUGACUAACUCUGUGCUAAUAGCUGCGGUAAGACAGAGGAUGCAAGCGUUAUCCGAAAUGAUAGGGCAUAAAACUUCUGUAGGUGGCUUUUUAAGUCUGCCGUAAAAUCCCAGGGCUCAACCCUGGACAAGUGGUGGAAACUACCAAGCUGGAGUAUGGUAGAGGCAAAGAGAAUUUUAGGUGGAACAGUGAAAUGUGUAGAGAUCAAAAAGAACACCAACGGCGAAAGCACUUUGUUGGGCCAACAUUGACAUUGAGAGAUGAAAGCCAGGGAAGCGAAUGGGAUUAGAUACCCCAGUGUCCUAGCCAUAAAUUAUGGAUACUAGGUGUUGUGCGUAUCGACCCGUGCAGUGCUGUAGCUAAUGCGUUAAAUAUCUCGCCU
rnacentral:rRNA from 1 species